rnacentral:rRNA from 1 species
CCUACGGGCGGCAGCAGUGAGGAAUAUUGGUCAAUGGUCGCGAGCCUGAACCAGCCAAGUCGCGUGAGGGAAGACGGUCCUGUGGAUUGUAAACCUCUUUUGUCAGGGAGCAAAAGCCGCCACGCGUGCCGUUCCGAGUGUACCCGAAGAAAAAGCAUCGGCUAACUCCGUGCCAGCAGCCGCGGUAAUACGGAGGAUGCGAGCGUUAUCCGGAUUUAUUGGGUUUAAAGGGUGCGCAGGCGGAAUAUCAAGUCAGCGGUAAAAGUGAGAGGCUCAACCUCUUCGAGCCGUUGAAACUGGUAUUCUUGAGUGAGUGAGAAGUAUGCGGAAUGCGUGGUGUAGCGGUGAAAUGCAUAGAUAUCACGCAGAACUCCGAUGGCGAAGGCAGCAUACCGGCGCCAAACUGACGCUCAGGCACGAAAGUGUGGGUAUCGAACAGGAUUAGAUACCCUUGUAGUC